rnacentral:rRNA from 1 species
CCUACGGGCGGCAGCAGUGGGGAAUAUUGGACAAUGGGGGGAACCCUGAUCCAGCGACGCCGCGUGAGUGAAGAAGUAUUUCGGUAUGUAAAGCUCUAUCAGCAGGGAAGAAAGAAAUGACGGUACCUGACUAAGAAGCCCCGGCUAACUACGUGCCAGCAGCCGCGGUAAUACGUAGGGGGCAAGCGUUAUCCGGAUUUACUGGGUGUAAGGGGAGCGUAGACGGCGAUGCAAGUCUGAAGUGAAAGGCGGGGGCCCAACCCCGGCCCGCCGUUGAAACUGGCAGUCUCGAGUUGGAGAGAAGUAUGCGGAAUGCGCGGUGGAGCGGUGAAAUGCAUAGAUAUCGCGCAGAACUCCGAUUGCGAAGGCAGCAUGCCGGCUCCACACUGACGCUGAGGCACGAAAGCGUGGGUAUCGAACAGGAUUAGAUACCCCAGUAGUC